AGUCCUGUGGUCUAGCGGUUAAGAUUUCGCUCUUAUACCGUAUGCGACGGUCGUGGGUUCAAUCCCCACCAGGACUA